rnacentral:rRNA from 1 species
AGAGUUUGAUCAUGGCUCAGGAUAAACGCUGGCGGCGUGCCUAACACAUGCAAGUCGAACGCCCUGCUUCGCAAGGGGCAGGGAGUGGCGGACGGGUGAGGAACACGUGGGUCACCUACCCCCCGGUGAGGAAUACCGCCGAGAAAUCGGCGACAAGACCGCAUAGGCUUCUCUUUAGGGAAGCAAAGCUUGUGCUCGCA